AGCAGAAUGUGUGCUCCUGGAAAGUGCAUCCAAGCAUAGUGAAAGCCCUGCAGAUAAGACUCCAGUUGAAGACACAGAAACUGAACAGGAAAGGAUUUUACUACGUGACAUCAUGGCUGCAGCUGAUCGGUGCCGAACUUUAAGCUUCAGUGGAAGUUGUGUUUCCAGCUGUCUUAAUGAACAAAGAUGAACAAAAUGAGACACGAAGGCUUUGCAAAGUUAGGA